GAUACAGUAAUGACGGAGCGAUGCUCGAUUCCUUUCUCUCGCCUCAACCAUUGCCAUCGUCGGCCUUCGUUUGUGACCUUUGCCGCCGCCGAACCUUCUAUUAUCUGAGGUAAGGCCUCUCUCUUGUUUUCCCUAUGCCCAAUCGCAUGUUAGGGCUUUUGCUGUUAACAAUGACCAGAGUGAUGCUCGAUUUCUUUCUCUCGCCGUUGUUGGCCUUCGUUUGUGGCAUUCGAAGGAGCCGAGCCUUCUAUUAUCUUAGCUGGUCGAGUUGUUGCUUUAAGCAUUGGUGAAGAUGGUUUUUGGGCGAAGUAGCAACAAUAGCGGCGAUUGGGCAGAGCUGCAACGACGAUUGGCCGAAGCCGCAACGGCGAUUGGGCGAAGCCGCAACGGCAAUUGGACAAAAACCGGAAUGGCAAUUGGCAAAGCGAAAAUUUAAGGCAAUAAUGGAGAUUGGAGAGGUGAUACAAUUCUACGAUUCAGACAUACGUUUUCCUGCUUGGGGAUUCGGUGGAAGAAUACCCAAUGCUUCAGUAUCUCACGGUUUCAACUUGAAUGGAAGUUUAUCCGAUUUUGAGGUUUUUGGAAUAGAUACAAUGGUGGAUAUUGCAACAUGAUGUUGGAGAAAAUUACUUUUGUUUUGACCAAUCAAUUGUCCUUUUUUAAAAAAAAAAAACAAUAAAACUUGAUGUAUCUUAUAUUUUAAGCUUGUAUAAGGAUGUAAUUAUAAAUUUAUUGUGUUUUAUAUUUAUAUUUUAAGCUUGUAUAAA